CAAGAGAAGCGUUUACUGACCAUGCCAAAGAGUAGAUUAGAACAUAACAAAUACACACAUCGCAAGUCAAAACCCCACAUUCCCCCAACAAACAUUUCACACAACGCCACAAUGAAAACAGAGACUUACGUCCUAAAUAGCACUCUAUUCCCUAUUCCCUAUUCCUGUCUGCGUUUGACCAAUCAGAUCUGAAACAUAUCUGAUGUAAAAAGAUCUGAUGUGAUUAGUCAAAAGACAAAUAAGUGAGAGAAAAAAAUAUUAGAAUUGGGCUGCCUGUGUAAAUGAAGCCUAUUUAGGGAGUAAGGAGACAUUUAGGACAUACCCAGAGUGGCUUCAGCUAACAUCAACCCCAAUCAUUUAGGAUGUACCCAGAGUGGCUUUAGCUAACAUCAACCCCAAUCAUUUAGGACAUACCCAGAGUGGCUUCAGCUAACAUCAACCCCAAUCAUUUAGGAUGUACCCAGAGUGGCUUCAGCUAACAUCAACCCCAAUCAUUUAGGAUGUACCCAGAGUGGUUCAGCUAACAUCAACCCCAAUCAUUUAGGAUGUACCCAGAGUGGCUUCAGCUAACAUCAACCCCAAUCAUUUAGGAUGUACCCAGAGUGGCUCCAGCUAACAUCAACCCCAAUCAUUUAGGAUGUACCCAGAUGGCUUCAGCUAACAUCAACCCCAAUCAUUUAGGAUGUACCCAGAGUGGGUUCAGCUAACAUCAACCCCAAUCAUUUAGGAUGUACCCAGAGUGGCUUCAGCUAACAUCAACCCCAAUCAUUUAGGAUGUACCCAGAGUGGCUUCAGCUAACAUCAACCCCAAUCAUUUAGGAUGUACCCAGAGUGGCUUCAGCUAACAUCAACCCCAAUCAUUUAGGAUGUACCCAGAGUGGCUUCAGCUAACAUCAACCCCAAUCAUUUAGGAUGUACCCAGAGUGGCUUCAGCUAACAUCAACCCCAAUCAUUUAGGAUGUCCCCGGAGUGGUCCAGCUAACAUCAACCCCAUUCAUUUAGGAUGUCCCCAGAGUGGCUUUAGCUAACAUCAACCCCAAUCAUUUAGGAUGUACCCAGAGUGGCUUUAGCUAACAUCAACCCCAAUCAUUUAGGAUGUCCCCAGAGUGGCUUUAGCUAACA